rnacentral:lncRNA from 1 species
AAAAUUUAACCAUAACAUUUUUUUACAAAAAAAAAGAGUAAAACACUAAAAUAAAAUUAAAAACAAUAUGCAUAGGCUGGUGAAAGGUGAAAGGCCUGUUUCGGAUGUCGGUAUCAGAUGUAGUCGGUAUCGCUUAUGGACAUCCGAUACAGUUUUUUGCGCGUUUCAAAUUCGAUGCUUCGUCAAACAACCCAGAUCAAACACCCACAUACAGAUCAAACACUUCAAUCACCUUCUAAUCAUUCAAUGUACAUAUCAAUCAACAAUCAUGGAAAACACGAAAAAAAAUUUAAGAAAACGAAAAGCAAAAAUGGAGGAAGGAGACGGGUGGGAUGCACCAACGAAGAUGAAAAGGAAGUCGUGCCUCUGCAAAACAGACCAAAAAAAAGCACAAUCUGAAAUGUAAAAAUGAGGAAGAUGAAGUUGUUGCAGAAAAGAGAAACUGAACCUGUUUGCGUGAUGUUGUGCGAGAAGAAAGAGCUUGAGAUCUUUUGUGAGUUCGUGAGUGUUGUGCGAGUGAAAGGACAGCAAAUGGUGGUGCUGUGCGAGAGAAAGGAGACCAAGCUGCUGUGCGAGAGAGAAGAGAGAAAGGAAAGCAAAUGUGAGUGGUGCUGUGAGCAAAUGACAUCUGACACACACAAACCUGAAAAAAGAAUCUGAAACUCAAAAAGAAUUCAUGACUAUUCUUAACUAUUUCAACAAAAGUUAAUCCACAUUCUAAUUAGGGGCUAAACAGGUAUUUUAGUAAAGUUUGGAGGUGUUGAAGACGCAUGAAACACUCUUCCAUUAAUUAAGCCCAUUAAGUAAGAUGAAACACUCCCCAUUAAGUAAGAUGAAACAGGUAUUGUUUAUUUAUUUUUUUUAAAGAAAAAAGGAAGAUUGUUAAGGUGUAGGGUAUUUUUGGAAUAAAGAAAAUAGUGGGGAGGUAUAGAAUAUUUUUGAAAUAAAUUAAAUUAAUGGGGAGGUACAGGUCUUACUUG